AAAGUCUAUUCACAAGACUAUUCAUAACAUUCUAGUCACACUAUUCACAUUUAGACAUGAUUCAGAAAAGAGGAUAGGAUCUCAGUUCUCAUCCGGGUCGUACUCAGGAUCAUCCUGAUCCUCUUCUGACUCUUCUUCACUAAGCUCACAUCCUUCAAGCUCUUCAUCUUUUAUCGGCUCAUCGUCCUCUUCUGGUUCCUUCUUCAUAGGCUCAUCUACGGGCCUGAAUUGAUGUCCCACAACCGGGAUGAGACUAUGUAUCAGCAAGUUCUACCCCACUAAGACUCGAUUAGGAAACCGAUACGCUAACCGGGCUGCCUAUACACGCACGGGUCAGAGGACUUACCUUGGCCUCAGAUUCCACCUGCAUAUUAACACAAUUCAAUAGGCACCUAAGCAAUUACAUCACAGAUCAAUAUCUCGAUCCAUCGACCUAGUCGAUUUCAUAUAAAUUCGACCAUUCCCCAGUCGUUUCCCUUAUUUAGUCUCAAAUUGUACUCACGACUUCACGAGCAUAUACUACCAAAUUUCUUGGCAACAAAUUACAGUCCCGAAGGACAUGACCUAUCUUUAGGUAGCAAAUUACGGCCCAAUGGGCGCGACCUUUAAUGGUGGCAGAUUACGACCUUAUCAGGCGCGACCCUUAUCGGGUGGCAGAUUACGGCCUUAUCAGGCGCGACCCAUAUCAGGUGGCAGAUUAUGGCCUUAUCAGGUGUGACCCAUAUUAGGCGGUAGAUUACGGCCCCAACGAGCGCGGCCGACUCCAAAUUCGGUGGCAGAACUUGGCCCUACUAGCACAGCCAUACUUUGGGCAACUUUCGAGGUUCAACUCACAACCUCUCACAGUCAAAUUCUAAUUGAAUAUCGACACUGAUCAAUUUUGGGAUAAAUCCCCACAUACUCAUCAACUCACUCAAUUUACACACGAUAUUAACAUACCCACUGGAUCUCAGCCAAAAGUAUAUUCAAUUCACUCUUACGAACUUCUCCACUUAAUAGCUCAUCAAAGAUUAUUGACGCUAAACAAUCGUACACGGCCAUCCGCAAGUCAAUUACUCAAUCAUAAUCAAUUUAGGAAUAAUUCCUCAAAUUGCACAAUUAAUUCAAUUCAACACAACGUAGGGCUCAAAUAAAUAAACGGACUACACCACAACAAUCAGCACGAAAUUUUGGUUGUCGGCUAUCCUUGCCUAAUUUCCGAAAAAUAAAUAAUUAAAUGAUUAAUUUCGAAAAUUAAUAAAUAAAUACUAAAAAUCCAAUUUAGGCCCGUAAUGCCUAAUUGAAGCUCAAUAAGGGUCGGGAAAAAUCCCGAGAUGCAUUCAAUAAAUAAUAGUACGUCUCUACUUGCUAAUAACUAAGUCUAACCACCUAACAAGGAUCAUUAAGUCACUAAUUUAAUUAUUCUAAACUAAUCUAACCACCUAAUUGCACUUAAUUAAAUCUAGAGGUGUUAAAAUGGGUCAUAAACCCAUUUAUGACCCAUUUAAAUCUUAAAUGGGUCACUUGUUUAUAACAAAAGAUAGUUAAAUGGGUUUCACAAUUAAAGGUUUAAGAUAGGUGGGUCUUAAGUGGGUUUUUAAAUGGGUUGGGUUGAAAACUCAUCUUUAACAAAAACAUUAUAAUUCCUCCCUUCUCUCUUUAACUUUAUAAAAAUCCAAAUUAUAAUUUUUUCUUUUUAUUUUCUCUUUUCUUUUUCUUCCUUUUUUUUAUCUUUCUUCUUUUUUUUUCUUUUUUUUUUUCUUUCUCCUUCCUCCUUCCGGUCGCCGGCACGGCGACGCCGGCGAUCGGCCAGGCAAGCCUCGAGCUCGCCGGAUCUGGCGAGGCGGCGACCUCGCCGACGCCCGGCGAGGCUCGAGCUCGCCAGCGUUGGGUGAGGCUCGAGCCUCGCCAGUUCCGACGAGGGGCGAGCUCGAGCUCGCCCGACACCGGUGAGCCUCGAGUUGGCCGGAUCUGGCGAGGCUCGAGCCUCAAGCUCGCCGGCCGUCGUCGUGGCCGGCGGCCGGCCAAAGAAGAAGAAGAAGGAGAAGAAAAAAGAGAAAAAGAAAAAAGAAAAAGAAAAGAGAAAAAUAAAAUUAUAUUUUAAAAAUAAAAAAAAUAAUUAAUUAAAAAAAAUUAAAUUUCGAUUUUUUAAAUAAUUAUUUUAAAAUUUAUAAAAAUUGUCCAUUAAAUUUAUAUUGUAUAAAACUAUUUUAGCAAUACAAUUUUAAAAAAAAUAAUAUAUAUAAUAGCUUGAAAGUAUUUUAAUAAUAUAAUCUUUAAAAAAAACAUAGGAAUAAGUUUUUCUAAAUUUGUUAAAUAUGAAAAUAUUUUAUUGAUGUGAGUUGGGUCGGGUCGGGUAUGGGUUGGGUAUGGGUUGGGUCGAAAAAUUUACAUUAAACAUAAAUGGGUCAUAAAUGGGUUAAUGGGUCAAUUUGGGUCGGACCAUUAAUGACCCGACCCAAACCUGACCCGACCCACUUGUUUAACGGCUCUAAUUAAAUCUAAUCAACCCUUAAGCAUCAUUAGUCUACUAAGCAAUGAUUAGUGAGAUUACUCACUUGAUUAAAAGCG
rnacentral:lncRNA from 1 species